GGUGGUGGUGUAGGUGAAAGUGAAGGUGCCAAUUGUGGUGGCGCUUCAAGUAGUGGUGUUAGUGGUGGUGGUGUUUUUGGCAGAGGCAAUGGCAGUGUUCUUGGUGGUGGUGGUGGUGGUGUGUUGGUGGUGGUGAACAAUCACUUUUUGGAGUAAAAUAAUAAUGUUCAGAAGUGUACCUGUUGUUUCCAUUGUUGGAGUGGCCACUGGACCCUCAUUCAUGUUUGUUAAGAAGGUACAGUCCCAGGGUAAUAGGGCCUUCUACUCCCAUCCACACUCAUUCUGCAUCUUUAUUAAUUCCAAGAUAUCAAAGAACCCUCUACUAUUUGUAAAUGAUGAAUCACUGUCUUGCGGACAAACAAGAUUUAGCUUGGGACCUAAAAGGAUCAGGAUGAGAUAAUUUUUUCUUACCCAAAAAGACCCAUUAUGAGAGAAUGAACCACAACUGGUACAAUAAACAUAGCUUUCCACUUUGAUCAGUGUAGUGGCAUCACAAAAAUUCUGAAUAGAAUUAAGUAGAAAAUCUUCAUACUUACAUGAUAAUAAUGAGGUAAAAGAUUGUCCUUAUAUAAUAAAUAUCUUGCACUGCAUUUAGUCAAACAUUAAGGUAAAACUAAAAAGUUUCUAGUUGAAUAACAUUUUUUUUAAAACCCAGUGAUCUUCUAAAUAUUUUGUUUCAUUUUUUAUAUAUUGUCCUAAUUUAUUUCCAACAUAAAAAAUUUACUUUUGUUAUUUUUAUUUUACUUCCAUCAUGCCUAUAAUUUGUAGUUUGAUAUUUCAGUGUUAAUAUUAUAACUGAGCCUUUAACCUUUAACCUUUGUGUUUUACUGGUAGAAUAUUCUUAGAAUACCUUACAAGUCAAUAAUCUUUUUCUAUUUUGUUAGAUUGGUUAUGAACUUAUGAGGUGCUGGGCCUGGUGCUGAUGUUGGUAAUUGUGCUGAUGCUAGUGGUGGCGGUGUUCACGGGUUCCUUCUAGCUGCUGCUUCGUCUUGACUACUUCCAUAGAUGCAAGGUCAGCACAGCCUUUGAGAGCAGCGAUGCAAGUCAAGUGAUUUGGUGCACAGGUGACGUCUUUGGCAGCUAGCAUCCAUUCGAACAGUUUCACAGCGAGCUCGGGCUCUCUGCUUUCAGUGUAGCUGAGGACCAUGGCCGUCCAGAUCGCCGGAUCUCUCCGCGUCUUGGUCCUCUUGAAGAGCCUCUGAGCAUCUAUAAGGCUUCCAAGUUUGGCAUACAGAUUGAUCAACGAGCUCACAACGUGGACAUGCAAGUCAAGACCAGAUCUCUCGGCCUGGCAGUGGAUUUCUGCGACUUUGUCGAGCAGGAACUUGCUACUACCAGCAGAGUGUUUCCUCGUCAAUCCCAGGCAGGCCAGUGGCCGCAAAGCUCAGAGCAUCUGCAGUGACGCUUGAGUCUUGCCUCCUGGAAAAAAAUUUCAAGGCCAGCUCUUCUUUGACAUUGUCCACAUGGCUGAGCACGAGGGCAGUCCAGGAAACAACGCUGGGGCAAGCCAUUUCCUGGAAAACAGCUCGGCAAAAGCCAUAGCUUGGGCAAGCGCUUAUAAAUCAUACAUGUCUUUAUUAUGUUAAAACUGAUUACUUGAGUGGAUGGUGAUGGUGUGAGAGCAAUAAAGAUCAAAGAAGGGAUUUGGGUCUAGUGAUUGAGUGGUGGUGCUAAAAUUGGUGUGGUGGUGGCUGAAUUGGAGGUGAUAGUGGUGCCAGUGCUAGUGUAGCUGGUGGAGGUGUUCUUCUUGGCAGUGGUGGUGGUGGUGUUUUAAGUGGUGGUGUUAGUGCAAUUGGAGGUGAUAGUGGUGCUAAUGCUGGUGUAACUGAUGGAUUUUCUGUGGUGUUUGUGAAAUUGGAGGUCAUAAUAGUGUUAGUGCUAGUGUAACUAGUGGAGGAGGUGUUCAUGGUGGUGGUGGU
rnacentral:lncRNA from 1 species